UUUCCGUAGGUGAACCUGCGGAAGGAUCAUUAACGAUUGUCGGGGCCUUCGGGUCCCAACUUCAACCCCAUGUUUACUUCAAACGUUUGCUUCGGUGGGACGGCGCCCGCGCCGCCGGCCCUCGGGCUGGAGAGCGCCCACCGAUGGCGGUACCAAACUCUGUUUGCACCUGUGAAGUCUGAGUUAUUAAGAAUAAAUCAAAACUUUCAACAACGGAUCUCUUGGUUCUGGCAUCGAUGAAGAACGCAGC
rnacentral:misc_RNA from 1 species